rnacentral:rRNA from 1 species
CCUACGGGAGGCAGCAGUGAGGAAUAUUGGUCAAUGGACGAGAGUCUGAACCAGCCAAGUAGCGUGAAGGAUGACUGCCCUAUGGGUUGUAAACUUCUUUUAUAUGGGAAUAAAAUGUUCCACGUGUGGGAUUUUGUAUGUACCAUAUGAAUAAGGAUCGGCUAACUCCGUGCCAGCAGCCGCGGUAAUACGGAGGAUCCGAGCGUUAUCCGGAUUUAUUGGGUUUAAAGGGAGCGUAGGUGGAAUGUUAAGUCAGUUGUGAAAGUUUGCGGCUCAACCGUAAAAUUGCAGUUGAAACUGGCAGUCUUGAGUACAGUAGAGGUGGGCGGAAUUCGUGGUGUAGCGGUGAAAUGCUUAGAUAUCACGAAGAACUCCGAUUGCGAAGGCAGUUCACUGGACUGCAACUGACACUGAGGCUCGAAAGUGUGGGUAUCAAACAGGAUUAGAUACCCGUGUAGUC